UACGUAGGGGGCGAGCGUUGUCCGGAUUUAUUGGGCGUAAAGAGCUCGUAGGCGGCUUGGCAAGUCGGGUGUGAAAACUCCAGGCUCAACCUGGAGAUGCCACUCGAGACUGCUAUGGCUAGAGUCCGGUAGGGGACCACGGGAAUUCCUGGUGUAGCGGUGAAAUGCGCAGAAUAUCAGGAGGAACACCGGUGGCGAAGGCGGGUCUCGUGGGC
rnacentral:rRNA from 1 species